GGAGAGAUGGCUGAGCUGGUCGAAGGCGCGCGACUGGAAAUCGCGUAACCGUGCUAAAACGCGGUUCGAGGGUUCGAAUCCCUCUCUCUCCGCCA
rnacentral:tRNA from 2 species